rnacentral:rRNA from 1 species
UACGGAAGGCAGCAGUGGGGAAUAUUGCACAAUGGGCGAAAGCCUGAUGCAGCUAUGCCGCGUGUAUGAAGAAGGCCUUAGGGUUGUAAAGUACUUUCAUCGGGGAGGAAAAAACAAAACUAAUAAUUUUAUUUCUUGACGUUACCCGAAAAAGAAGCACCGGCUAACUCCGUGCCAGCAGUCGCGGUAAUACGGAGGGUGCUAGCGUUAAUCAGAAUUACUGGGCGUAAAGAGCACGUAGGUGGUUUUUUUAAGUCAGAUGUGAAAUCCCUGGGCUUAACCUAGGAACUGCAUUUUGAAACUGAAAUACUAGAGUAUCGUAGAGGGAGGUAGAAUUCUAGGUGUAGCGGUGAAAUGCGUAGAUAUCUGGAGGAAUACCUGUGGCGAAAGCGGCCUCCUAAACGAAUACUGACACUGAGGUGCGAAAGCGUGGGGAGCAAACAGGGAUUAGAUACC